rnacentral:rRNA from 1 species
UACGUAGGGCGCAAGCGUUGUCCGGAAUUAUUGGGCGUAAAGAGCUCGUAGGCGGCUUGUCACGUCGGAUGUGAAAGCCCGAGGCUUAACCUCGGGUCUGCAUUCGAUACGGGCAGGCUAGAGGCAGGUAGGGGAGAACGGAAUUCCAGGUGUAGCGGUGAAAUGCGUAGAUAUCUGGAGGAAUACCGGUGGCGAAGGCGGCAUCCUGGACCGGCAUUGACGCUGAGGAGCGAAAGCUAGGGGAGCAAACGGGG